UUUUGUUUUCACUCUCUCUCUCUCUCUUUCUCUCUCUCUCUCUAUUUAGGCUGUCGACCGUCCCGAGCAUCCACGGGAGGAUUUACGGCCAUACAACCGUGAUUACGGAGAGAUUAAGAAUUUAUAUAAACGAGUCCUUUACAAGGCAUGACCCAUUACAAAUGAGCAAACGAAACGAGCUGCGUGAGAUUGUGGAAAGGGCAAGGUUAUUGCUAUUGGUGGAACUAGCAAACUACAUCCAAGAAAUAGUGAUCAUCCGUUGAUGGUGGCUAUGUAAGAAAGGUGGCGCCCUAAAAUAAACACCACCCAUCUGACGACAUGUAUCGGAGAGAUGAUGCCGAUGUUGUAUGAUGUAUGGUGGAUUCACCAACUUGUAAUCGUGUGCCGGAAAAAGACUAUUGGCCCUACACCAC